rnacentral:rRNA from 1 species
CAGCAGUGAGGAAUAUUGGUCAAUGGACGAGAGUCUGAACCAGCCAAGUAGCGUGAAGGAUGACUGCCCUAUGGGUUGUAAACUUCUUUUAUAAGGGAAUAAAGUGCAUCACGUGUGGUGUUUUGUAUGUACCUUAUGAAUAAGGAUCGGCUAACUCCGUGCCAGCAGCCGCGGUAAUACGGAGGAUCCGAGCGUUAUCCGGAUUUAUUGGGUUUAAAGGGAGCGUAGGCGGCAGGUUAAGUCAGUUGUGAAAGUUUGCGGCUCAACCGUAAAAUUGCAGUUGAUACUGGCCUGCUUGAGUGCGGCAGAGGCAGGCGGAAUUUGUGGUGUAGCGGUGAAAUGCUUAGAUAUCACGAAGAACUCCGAUUGCGAAGGCAGCUUGCUGGAGCGUAACUGACGCUGAUGCUCGAAAGUGCGGGUAUCAAACAGGAUUAGA